GAUGAAGAACGUAGCGAAAUGCGAUAAGUAAUGUGAAUUGCAGAAUUCAGUGAAUCAUCGAAUCUUUGAACGCACAUUGCGCCCGCCAGUAUUCUGGCGGGCAUGCCUGUUCGAGCGUCAUUUCAACCAUCAAGCCCCCGGCUUGUGUUGGGGACCUGCGGCUGCCGCAGGCCCUGAAAAGCAGUGGCGGGCUCGCUGUCACACCGAGCGUAGUAGAUUUCAUCUCGCUCAGGGCGUGCUGCGGGUUCCGGCCGUUAAACCACCUUCAUAACCCAAGGUUGACCUCGGAUCAGGUAGGAAGACCCGCUGAACUUAAGCAUAUCAAUAAGCGUAGGA
rnacentral:misc_RNA from 1 species